GGCAGCCAUUUUAGGUGAGUCAUUUCUAAUUUCCUACCUGGUUAAGUCUGUGUUCGCUCCUGUGGUCACAGAUUUGGCUUGGUAGGGUUCUCCUUCUUUUGUUUCCCUGCAGGACCAAUGGACGACGUGGAGCGUCUGCUUGAGGGGAUCCGGUCGGCGGCGAGGCAUCUGGGUGCUGACUGGCUGAGGGCCCAGCUGGCUCC